UACAAUGGUGCUGCCAGGAUACAAUGGU
rnacentral:piRNA from 1 species